AACCUUCCUUGCACCAGCCCUGAGUAAGAGCACUUUAUAGCAAUCAAACAUGAGUCGGUUUGCUUCGUGAAUGCUCCUUACAACUUGACACUACAUUCUGCCACUGGUUUUGACUCCCCAGGAAGCUGGUCCUGCCUCUGAGAGUACAACACCACUCCGGGGCUGUGUGUGUGUGUGUGAGCACUUGAGAACAAUGCAACAGUCAGACCCCUCCCCCACAGGCAAAACACAUUGCUAGUGCAUGAGAUACACCUUGUGGUCAAAAGUUCCCAGGGAAAUCCAGGACUCUGGUCCCCAUUUCUCAAGAAGAUGGGCAUGUACACAUCCCCAGGACAGCCUAGAGUUGCCUAGGGAGUGGAUCUGAAGGAGACGACCCUGAUUGGAAUCUAUGGGUGUCUGCUAUUGGCCAUGUGCAGAAUGGCAAGUGCCUGUCCCGUAUAAUCACCCAUAUCAGGCUUGUCUCUCUCACUCAGGGCAGGUGGCAGAUGUGUCCACCUAAUCUUCUGUAAGCACGUUGUCAGGCAUCUCAUCUGUGUACAUGUCAUUCUCCAUGUGGGGCUCAGGAACGAUGGGAGGUUCCCACAAGUCCUGGGGCUGAGGUUGAUGUCUGCUAGCUUCCAGCUGAUUCAGUCCUGCCCUAGGCUGCCUUUGCAGGAAGCUUACUGGCAACCCAGUCUCCUUUCUCCCACUUCCCGCUGAUUGUUGCCACUGUCUGGUCAGUGUCUCCAGUACCAACUUGCUGUCCGGGGAGCUGGCAAGAACAAAUGAUACUCUCCUUGCCAUGGCCCCAUGGUUGCUGAGCGUGACUUUAUUUGUAUUGUAUCACUUACUCAUCCAGCUUAUCUAUUUUCAUGUGUAAAUGUACGGCAUUGGUCUCGAGCGUUUCCUGCCUGGCAAGGGGAGUGAUCUUGCUGGGAAUUUUCUGAAGCUGAGCUGCGUCUGACAGCUCUUGCAGCUAAUUUAUGGCUGCCUGCUAUGUGGGAGUGCUGGUGCAGAAGAGGCUCCCGUUGAUGAACCCCCAGCAGGCCUGCCUUAAUUUGGCCCAUUGGAUGUAAUGUACAUGAACCAACACAGCUGAGACACCCCUGGGGUGAGCUGCUCAGCCAGGCUCAGUGGCAGCAAAGCAUUCGAGAAAGUGGGAGCUGGCUGGCCCUGCCCAUCCACUGGAGACAGCAGGAUGUAGCUAAGGCAGAAGUCCUGCUGAAGCUGAGGACUGGCCCCAAUAUAGAUUUGUUGUGCAUAAGAAGAUCUUAGUGGCAUUUAUGUCCCUGA